rnacentral:rRNA from 5 species
ACACCUGUUCCCAUGCCGAACACAGAAGUUAAG